AUUGAACGCUGGCGGCAGGCCUAACACAUGCAAGUCGAACGAGUGGCGGACGGGUGAGUAAUGUCUGGGCAACUGCCUGAUGGAGGGGGAUAACUACUGGAAACGGUAGCUAAUACCGCAUACCAUCGGAUGUGCCCAGAUGGGAUUAGCUUGUUGGUGGGGUAACGGCUCACCAAGGCGACUAUCCCUAGCUGGUCUGAGAGGAUGACCAGCCACACUGGAACUGAUACACGGUCCAGACUCCUACGGGAGGAAGCAGUGGGGAAUAUUGCACAAUGGGUGCAAGCCUGAUGCAGCAAGGCCGCGUGUGUGAAGAAGGCCUUCGGGUUGUAAAGUACUUUCAGCGGGGAGGCGUUACCCGCAGAAGAAGCACCGGCUAACUCCGUGCCAGCAGCCGCGGUAAUUC
rnacentral:rRNA from 1 species